CUGCGGAGGUCAUUAAGAAUACAUUACACACAUGUUUUUAUUGCAUAAACACACAAACCAUUAUCAGCGUCAACGCAAACAACAAUCAAAACUUUCAACAACGGAUCUCUUGGUUCUCGCAUCGAUGAAGAACGCAGCGAAUUGCGAUAAGUAAUAUGAAUUGCAGAUUUUCGUGAAUCAUCGAAUCUUUGAACGCACAUUGCGCCCUGUGGUAUUCCGCAGGGCAUGCCUGUUUGAGCGUCAUUUCUCUCUCAAGCCGCUGGCUUGGUGUUGAGUUUGCUCGGCUUACUUGAAAAACAUGCCCGCAUUUGUUUAGGUACACCCAAGUCAUUUGCGACGUAUUACAAGUUUGACCUCAAAUCAGGUAGGACUACCCGCUGAACUUAAGCAUAUCAAUAAGCGGAGG
rnacentral:rRNA from 1 species